UGCUAGUCAUGCAGCCCUAAAGUUCAAAAGGACAGUUUUUGACAUACUACAACUUGAUUGCUGGAUGUUUACCAUAUAUAAAUGCUUGAUUAUUAUUUUUUCAGUAAUCACUUCUUUUCCCCACAAAAUUUCAAGCAUGAAUGCUCCUGCAUCCUUGUUCUCUGUGUUGGCCUAUUGUACCAGGAGAUCCAGUUAUCAUUGAGGUUCAAUGUCAGAUGCUGCUUGCUUCCUCUGUUUAAUUAAAUUUCUCAGCAUAUUUUUGUAAUGGCAAAGCAAUUCUUAAUCUCUGCUGUACCAGGAGAUCCAGUUAUCAUUGAGGUUCAAUGUCAGAUGCUGCUUGCUUCCUCUGUUUAAUUAAAUUUCUCAGCAUAUUUUUGUAAUGGCAAAGCAAUUCUUAAUCUCUGCCAUAGUUUUUUUCUUCUUGUUGCAAUAGUUGGUUAUAUAAAUUGUAUUGUGUGAUGUUAGUAACACUCUUUGAUUUCACAG
rnacentral:lncRNA from 1 species